ACAUUGGAUUGAAGAACUUCAAUUCAGCGUGGGGCGCGGCAGACGGGUGAGUAACACGUUGGAACCUGCCCCGAACUCAGGGAUAACACCGAGAAAUCGGUGAUAAUACCGGAUGGUUCCCGACGCAAGUCGGGAUAAAGAUUUAUCGGUUCGGGAGGGGCCUGCGCAGUAUCAGCUUGUUGGUGAGGUAAAGGCUCACCAAGGCUUUGACGCUUAACUGGUCUGAGAGGAUGAUCAGUCACAAUGGAACUGAGACACGGUCCAUACUCC
rnacentral:rRNA from 1 species